AACGAACGCUGGCGGNUGGCCUAACACAUGCAAGUCGAACGAAGUCUUCGGACUUAGUGGCGCACGGGUGAGUAACACGUGGGAAUAUACCUUACGCUGGGGGAUAACAUCGGGAAACUGAUGCUAAUACCGCAUACGCCCUUCGGGGGAAAGAUUUAUCGGCGAAAGAUUAGCCCGCGUCCGAUUAGCUAGUUGGUGAGGUAAUGGCUCACCAAGGCUCCGAUCGGUAGCUGGUCUGAGAGGAUGACCAGCCACACUGGGACUGAGACACGGCCCAGACUCCUACGGGAGGCAGCAGUGGGGAAUAUUGGACAAUGGGCGCAAGCCUGAUCCAGCCAUGCCGCGUGAGUGAUGAAGGCCUUAGGGUUGUAAAGCUCUUUCACCCACGACGAUGAUGACGGUAGUGGGAGAAGAAGCCCCGGCUAACUUCGUG
rnacentral:rRNA from 1 species